rnacentral:rRNA from 1 species
AUGGCGAGGCGAGGCAAAGGGGGCGGCGGCGGGGCUGGCGUCGGGGACGCGGCGUGGCGCAGGGGGUCGGCGCGGCCGCGGCUCCUGCUCGUCUCCGCCGUGGCCUGGGCGCUGCUCCUCCUCGCCUUCCACCUCUGGUCCUGCGCCUCCCCCUCCGCCUACUUCCUCUCAGCGCUCUGUAGAAAAGACGGUGAAGUUGUCCGCGCGUUGGACCCAAUGGGAACCCCGUCCAAACCGCUCCACCGCUGCUCGAUACCUGUCGCGGAUGAUCCAGACGCUGUCGUCAUUCCAAAGAGAACUCCCAAUGCGAUCGUGAAGAAUCUGUCCUACAUCACGGUUGACAAGCGGGACAAAGAUUCUCCGCCGCUGUUUGGAGGACGUCAAACCUGGAAGCAGAGGGAGGAAAGCUUCAAACUGAAUGCUACCAUGAAGGUGCAUUGUGGAUUUAUGAAAAACAGCGGUGCAGAUAUGGAUGCUGUUGAUGUCGAGUACAUACAGAAAUGCAAAUUUGUGGUUGCCUCGGGUAUUUUUGAUGGUUAUGACGCUCCUCAUCAGCCAUCAAAUAUUAGCCUUCGCUCUCAAAAGUUGUUCUGCUUCUUGAUGGUGGUCGAUGAGGUAUCCUUUGACUUCAUUGAACAGAAUGUCACUGUCAAAGUUGACAGUGCAGGAGGGAAAUGGGUUGGUAUAUGGCGACUUGUAACACUGCACCGCCCUCCAUUUGAUGAACCUAGAAGGAAUGGAAAAGUACCAAAGAUAUUGACGCAUAGGCUAUUUCCUCAAGCCUGGUAUAGCAUUUGGAUUGAUGGGAAAAUGGAGCUUAUGGUUGAUCCACUGCUUAUUCUUGAAAGAUAUCUCUGGCGGGGAAAAUACACAUUUGCAGUAGCUGUCCACAAACAUCAUAGAAGCAUAUAUGAGGAGGGUGAUGCAAUCAAACGGAGGAAGCGAUAUGCAAGGCCUUUGGUUGAUCUUCAGAUGAAGAUAUACUACCACGAGGGAAUGGAGCCUUGGGACGAAACGAAAAGGAUGCCUAGUGACAUACCAGAAGGAGCGGUGCUGAUCAGGGAGCACACGACGAUAACGGAUCUGUUCAGCUGCCUCUGGUUCAACGAAGUCAACCUCUUCACGCCUCGUGACCAGCUCAGCUUCGGCUACGUGGCCCAUCGGCUCGGAGACGCUCUCAAGUUCUUCAUGUUCCCCAACUGCGAGUACAAUUCCUUGUUCAUCCUGCACAGACACACGAGGGAGCACUCGUCGAAGGUGGAGUGGGCCAAGACGAUCGACGAGAUUUUGAAGAAGGGACUGAAGGAGAGCAGGGGAGGGUUAGGGCUGUGGACUCCGUACCCCGCAGACCUCAGCUCCGUGGAGCUCCCCGCUGUAAAAAGAACUUCGCAGGCAAGCUAG